GUGGGGAAUUUUGGACAAUGGGCGAAAGCCUGAUCCAGCAAUGCCGCGUGUGUGAAGAAGGCCUUCGGGUUGUAAAGCACUUUUGGCAGGGAAGAAACAGUGCGUGCUAAUACCAUGCGCGAAUGACGGUACCUGCAGAAUAAGCACCGGCUAACUACGUGCCAGCAGCCGCGGUAAUACGUAGGGUGCAAGCGUUAAUCGGAAUUACUGGGCGUAAAGCGUGCGCAGGCGGCUUUGUAAGACGGAUGUGAAAGCCCCGGGCUCAACCUGGGAAGUGCAGUCGUGACUGCAAGGCUAGAGUGUGUGAGAGGGAGGUGGAAUUCCGCGUGUAGCAGUGAAAUGCGUAGAGAUGCGGAGGAACACCGAUGGCGAAGGCAGCCUCCUGGGAUAACACUGACGCUCAGGCACGAAAGCGUGGGGAGCAAACAGGAUUAGAAACCCUAGUAGUCC
rnacentral:rRNA from 1 species